rnacentral:rRNA from 1 species
CUACGUGCCAGCAGCCGCGGUAAUACGGAAGGUCCGGGCGUUAUCCGGAUUUAUUGGGUUUAAAGGGAGCGUAGGCCGGAGAUUAAGUGUGUUGUGAAAUGUAGACGCUCAACGUCUGACUUGCAGCGCAUACUGGUUUCCUUGAGUACGCACAACGUUGGCGGAAUUCGUCGUGUAGCGGUGAAAUGCUUAGAUAUGACGAAGAACUCCGAUUGCGAAGGCAGCUGACGGGAGCGCAACUGACGCUUAAGCUCGAAGGUGCGGGUAUCAAACAGGAUUAGAUACCCUGGUAGUCCGCACAGUAAACGAUGGAUGCCCGCUGUUGGUACCUGGUAUCAGCGGCUAAGCGAAAGCAUUAAGCAUCCCACCUGGGGAGUACGCCGGCAACGGUGAAACUCAAAGGAAUUGACGGGGGCCCGCACAAGCGGAGGAACAUGUGGUUUAAUUCGAUGAUACGCGAGGAACCUUACCCGGGCUUGAAUUGCAGAGGAAGGAUUUAGAGAUAA